AGGGGGUACUGCGGGAGCCGUGCCGCGUCCGGGAAUCACCGGUCUGCCACACGGCUGAGAGGGCGUCCGACGCCGACCGCGUUGUGAGAACAACGAACCUGAUCCGGAUCAUGCCGGCGUAGGGAAGGACUCCUGGUGGAGA
rnacentral:ncRNA from 1 species